rnacentral:rRNA from 1 species
UACGUAGGGGGCAAGCGUUGUCCGGAUUUAUUGGGCGUAAAGAGCGUGUAGGCGGCCAGACAGGUCCGUUGUGAAAACUCGAGGCUCAACCUCGAGACGCCGAUGGAAACCGUCUGGCUAGAGUCCGGAAGAGGAGAGUGGAAUUCCCGGUGUAGCGGUGAAAUGCGCAGAUAUCGGGAAGAACACCCGUGGCUAAGGCGGCUCUCUAGUACGGUACUGACGCUGAGACGCGAAAAGCGUGGGGAGCGAACAGG